UAAGUUGCAGGGUAUAGACCCGAAACCCGGUGAUCUAGCCAUGGGCAGGUUGAAGGUUGGGUAACACUAACUGGAGGACCGAACCGACUAAUGUUGAAAAAUUAGCGGAUGACUUGUGGCUGGGGGUGAAAGGCCAAUCAAACCGGGAGAUAGCUGGUUCUCCCCGAAAGCUAUUUAGGUAGCGCCUCGUGAACUCAUCUUCGGGGGUAGAGCACUGUUUCGGCUAGGGGGUCAUCCCGACUUACCAACCCGAUGCAAACUGCGAAUACCGAAGAAUGUUAUCACGGGAGACACACGGCGGGUGCUAACGUCCGUCGUGAAGAGGGAAACAACCCAGACCGCCAGCUAAGGUCCCAAAGUCACAGUUAAGUGGGAAACGAUGUGGGAAGGCACAGACAGCCAGGAUGUUGGCUUAGAAGCAGCCAUCAUUUAAAGAAAGCGUAAUAGCUCACUGGUCGAGUCGGCCUGCGCGGAAGAUGUAACGGGGCUAAACUGUGCACCGAAGCUGCGGCAGCGACACUAUGUGUUGUUGGGUAGGGGAGCGUUCUGUAAGCCGUUGAAGGUGUGUCGUGAGGCAUGCUGGAGGUAUCAGAAGUGCGAAUGCUGACAUAAGUAACGAUAAUGCGGGUGAAAAACCCGCACGCCGGAAGACCAAGGGUUCCUGUCCAACGUUAAUCGGGGCAGGGUGAGUCGACCCCUAAGGCGAGGCCGAAAGGCGUAGUCGAUGGGAAACAGGUUAAUAUUCCUGUACUUGGUGUUACUGCGAAGGGGGGACGGAGAAGGCUAUGUUAGCCGGGCGACGGUUGUCCCGGUUUAAGCAUGUAGGCGGAGGUUCCAGGUAAAUCCGGUACCUUUUUAACGCUGAGGUGUGAUGACGAGGCACUACGGUGCUGAAGUAACAAAUGCCCUGCUUCCAGGAAAAGCCUCUAAGCAUCAGGUAACACGAAAUCGUACCCCAAACCGACACAGGUGGUCAGGUAGAGAAUACCAAGGCGCUUGAGAGAACUCGGGUGAAGGAACUAGGCAAAAUGGUGCCGUAACUUCGGGAGAAGGCACGCUGAUAUGUAGGUGAAGUGGUUUACCCAUGGAGCUGAAAUCAGUCGAAGAUACCAGCUGGCUGCAACUGUUUAUUAAAAACACAGCACUGUGCAAACACGAAAGUGGACGUAUACGGUGUGACGCCUGCCCGGUGCCGGAAGGUUAAUUGAUGGGGUUAUCCGUAAGGAGAAGCUCUUGAUCGAAGCCCCGGUAAACGGCGGCCGUAACUAUAACGGUCCUAAGGUAGCGAAAUUCCUUGUCGGGUAAGUUCCGACCUGCACGAAUGGCGUAAUGAUGGCCAGGCUGUCUCCACCCGAGACUCAGUGAAAUUGAACUCGCUGUGAAGAUGCAGUGUACCCGCGGCAAGACGGAAAGACCCCGUGAACCUUUACUAUAGCUUGACACUGAACACUGGUCCUUGAUGUGUAGGAUAGGUGGGAGGCUUUGAAGUGUGGACGCCAGUCUGCAUGGAGCCAACCUUGAAAUACCACCCUUUAAUGGCUGGUGUUCUAACGUGGACCCGUGAUCCGGGUUGCGGACAGUGUCUGGUGGGUAGUUUGACUGGGGCGGUCUCCUCCUAAAGAGUAACGGAGGAGCACGAAGGUUAGCUAAUCCUGGUCGGACAUCAGGAGGUUAGUGCAAAGGCAUAAGCUAGCUUGACUGCGAGAGUGACGGCUCGAGCAGGUGCGAAAGCAGGUCUUAGUGAUCCGGUGGUUCUGAAUGGAAGGGCCAUCGCUCAACGGAUAAAAGGUACUCCGGGGAUAACAGGCUGAUACCGCCCAAGAGUUCAUAUCGACGGCGGUGUUUGGCACCUCGAUGUCGGCUCAUCACAUCCUGGGGCUGAAGUAGGUCCCAAGGGUAUGGCUGUUCGCCAUUUAAAGUGGUACGCGAGCUGGGUUUAGAACGUCGUGAGACAGUUCGGUCCCUAUCUGCCGUGGGCGCUGGAGAAUUGAGGGGGGCUGCUCCUAGUACGAGAGGACCGGAGUGGACGCAUCACUGGUGUUCGGGUUGUCAUGCCAAUGGCAUUGCCCGGUAGCUAAAUGCGGAAGAGAUAAGUGCUGAAAGCAUCUAAGCACGAAACUUGCCCCGAGAUGAGUUCUCCCUGAGACUAUAAGUCUCCUGAAGGAACGUUGAAGACGACGACGUUGAUAGGUCGGGUGUGUAAGUGUAGCGAUACAUUGAGCUAACCGAUACUAAUGAACCGUGAGGCUUAACCUU
rnacentral:rRNA from 1 species